GCCUUCCUAGCUCAGUGGUAGAGCGCACGGCUUUUAACCGUGUGGUCGUGGGUUCGAUCCCCACGGAAGGCG
rnacentral:ncRNA from 15 species